UGAGAGAUUGCCUGUAAUUCAGCCAUGGU
rnacentral:piRNA from 1 species